rnacentral:rRNA from 1 species
CAGUAGCCGCGGUAAUACGAAGGGUGCAAGCGUUACUCGGAAUUACUGGGCGUAAAGCGUGUGUAGGUGGUUGUUUAAGUCUGUCGUGAAAGCCCUGGGCUCAACCUGGGAAUUGCGAUGGAUACUGGGCGACUAGAGUGCGGUAGAGGAUAGUGGAAUUUCCGGUGUAGCAGUGAAAUGCGUAGAGAUCGGAAGGAACAUCUGUGGCGAAGGCGACUAUCUGGGCCAACACUGACACUGAGACACGAAAGCGUGGGGAGCAAACAGGAUUAGAGACCCCGGUAGUCCCUGUCUCUUAUAC